rnacentral:rRNA from 1 species
UACGUAGGGUCCGAGCGUUGUCCGGAAUUAUUGGGCGUAAAGGGCUCGUAGGCGGUCUGUUGCGUCGGGAGUGAAAACUUACAGCUUAACUGUGAGCGUGCUUCCGAUACGGGCAGGCUAGAGUUCGGUAGGGGAGACUGGAAUUCCUGGUGUAGCGGUGAAAUGCGCAGAUAUCAGGAGGAACACCGGUGGCGAAGGCGGGUCUCUGGGCCGAUACUGACGCUGAGGAGCGAAAGCGUGGGGAGCGAACAGG